CGCUAUACUACCUUCUGAAAAUGCCGGCCCCUCUUCUUCGGGCCGGUUUUCAAUGUGU
rnacentral:sRNA from 1 species